UCGGACGUGGUACACGGUGCACACCCGCUCUUCCUGGAAGGGCUUCGUAGGAUUGGAGGCGGGAGCCCUGGGUUCGACUCCCAGCGUCCGAA